rnacentral:rRNA from 1 species
ACGAACGCUGGCGGCGUGCCUAAUACAUGCAAGUAGAACGCUGAAGACUUUAGCUUGCUAAAGUUGGAAGAGUUGCGAACGGGUGAGUAACGCGUAGGUAACCUGCCUACUAGCGGGGGAUAACUAUUGGAAACGAUAGCUAAUACCGCAUAACAGCAUUUAACCCAUGUUAGAUGCUUGAAAGGAGCAAUUGCUUCACUAGUAGAUGGACCUGCGUUGUAUUGCUAGUUGGUGGGUAACGGCUCACCAAGCGACGAUACAUAGCCGACCUGAGAGGGUGAUCGGCCACACUGGGACUGAGACACGGCCCAGACUCCUACGGGAGGCAGCAGUAGGGAAUCUUGGCAAUGGGGGCAACCCUGACCGAGCAACGCCGGUGAGUGAAGAAGGUUUUCGGAUCGUAAGCUCUGUGUAAAGAGAACGUGUGUGAGAGUGGAAAGUUCACACAGUGACGGUACUUACCAGAAAGGGACGGCUAACUACGUGCCAGCAGCCGCGGUAAUACGUAGGUCCCGAGCGUUGUCCGGAUUUAUUGGGCUAAAGCGAGCGCAGGCGGUUUAAUAAGUCUGAAGUUAAAGCAGUGGCUUAACCAUUGUUCGCUUUGGAACUGUUAGACUUGAGUGCAGAAGGGGAGAGUGGAAUUCCAUGUGUAGCGGUGAAAUGCGUAGAUAUAUGGGGAACACCGGUGGCGAAACGGCUCUCUGGUCUGUAACUGACGCUGAGGCUCGAAAGCGGGGGAGCAAACAGGAUUAGAUACCCUGGUAGUCCACGCCGUAACGAUGAGUGCUAGGUGUAGGCCCUUUCCGGGGCUUAGUGCCGCAGCUAACGCAUUAAGCUCCGCUUGCACGACGCCGGGGGUUU